AUUGAACGCUGGCGGCAGGCCUAACACAUGCAAGUCGAGCGAGCGGCGGACGGGUGAGUAAUGUCUGGGGAUCUGCCCGAUAGAGGGGGAUAACUACUGGAAACGGUGGCUAAUACCGCAUACCAUCGGAUGUACCCAUAUGGGAUUAGCUAGUAGGUAGGGUAAUGGCUUACCUAGGCGACGAUCCCUAGCUGGUCUGAGAGGAUGACCAGCCACACUGGGACUGAGACACGGCCCAGACUCCUACGGGAGGCAGCAGUGGGGAAUAUUGCACAAUGGGCGCAAGCCUGAUGCAGCCAUGCCGCGUGUAUGAAGAAGGCCUUAGGGUUGUAAAGUACUUUCAGUGGGGAGGCGUUACCGGCAGAAGAAGCACCGGCUAACUCCGUGCCAGCAGCCGCGGUAAUAC
rnacentral:rRNA from 1 species